GUAAAUCCGCCCGUACGUUUUCAGGUCAGUAAUUCUCAAACAGCGGAUGAUCCGAUAUGGCAAGUGGUGAUUUUCAACCAGGCACGGGCGUGGCUCCCGCUACCCUGGUAGAACUGUCCGUGUCAUGCAGAAAACUAAUCGAUGCCGAUGUCUUCUCCAAGUCAGACCCAUUGUGUGUUCUGUUCACUCAGGAUUCAAGCAAAAACUGGAGAGAGUUUGGACGAACAGAAAUAAUAUGGAACAACCUAAAUCCAGAUUUUGUCAAGAAAUUUGUGAUGCAUUAUUAUUUUGAACAAAGUCAAAAACUGAAGUUUGAAGUGUAUGAUGUGGAUUCUAAGAGUGCAGAUUUAUCCAAGCAUGAUUUUCUCGGAAGAAUGGAAUGCUCCCUGGGAGAGAUCGUAUCAGCAGGAAGUAAAUUUUUGAAGAGACUCAGUGGACCAAAGAAAGAUAGUGGGACGAUAAUUGUAGGAGCAGAAGAACAAAGCAGUUGUAAGGAACAAGCGACAUUGCAGUUUUGUGCACAUAAGCUAGACAAGAAAGAUUUCUUUGGCAAAUCGGAUCCAUUUCUUACUUUCUACAAAACUAACGAGGAUGGCUCGUACACUGUGGUUCACAGAACAGAAGUGAUAAAGAAGACCCUUAAUCCGACGUGGAAGCCAUUUGUAAUCCCGGUCCGCUCGCUCUGUAACGGGGACUAUGAUAGGACAAUCAAGAUUGAAUGUUAUGACUGGGAUGCAGACGGCGGGCAUGACUUUAUCGGAGAAUUCAUGACUAAUAUGAGAGAGCUGUCGCGAGGUCCCAGUCAGCAGAACGUAUUUGAGUGCAUCAAUGCGAAGAAGGCAGCAAAGAAAGGCAGCAAAUACAGAAACUCGGGCACGGUGGAGUUGAUGAGCUGCAGGAUAGAAAAGGUCUACUCAUUUCUGGAUUACGUGAGAGGAGGGACCCAGCUACACUGUACAUUUGCUGUUGAUUUCACGGCUUCAAACGGAGACCCAAAGUCCCCGUCUUCUCUACAUUAUGUCAACCCCUACAGACCCAAUCCUUACUCCAACGCUUUAAGGGCUGUCGGAAACAUCAUUCAGGACUAUGACACGGAUAAGCUGUUUCCAGUACUCGGGUUUGGAGCCAGGCUGCCUCCAGAUGGAGUUGUUUCUCAUGAGUUUGCUCUGAAUGGUAACCCCAACAACCCCUACUGCCAGGGAAUAGAAGGGGUCUUAGACUCCUACCACAAAGCCAUACAGUCGGUGCAGCUCUACGGACCCACAAACUUCGCCCCCUGCAUCAACCAUGUGGCAAAGUUUGCUUCUCAGAAGCGAGAUGGCAAUGACUAUUUCAUUCUUUUAAUCAUUACGGAUGGCAUCAUCACGGACAUGCCCCAGACUUGUGAGGCCAUUGUUAAUGCUGCCUCCCUCCCACUAUCAAUCAUCAUCAUCGGAGUUGGUGAUGCUGAUUUUGAAGCUAUGGACAUUCUGGAUGGGGAUGACGUGAGAUUGUCUUCCCGUGGGCGUUAUGCAGAGAGAGACAUUGUGCAGGUAGGGAAUUCAUAGUAAUAUUAAUUAUGAUAAUGAUACUGCUUUAUUUAGAGAAAUUUACUAGAUCAGUACCUCAUACUUUUCUUCCCCAGGGCCUUCUAAAUUUCAUCUCUGACCCAGAUCAAACUGGUCACAUUUGUUAUCCUUUUAUAAGCAUACAGAAAAACCAUGGAAGCCUCUGUCUAGUGGGGUUUUAUUUAUUAUACGCCCGUCUUAAGACGGGACGUAUUAUGGUAUGGCGUUCAUGUCCGUCCGUCUGUUAGCUUUUUCGUGUCCGACCCGUAACUUAAAUACUACAAGGCCUAGAAUCAUCAAACUUUGUCUGUAGAUACAUCUUGAGUAGAAGGUGUGUCGCACAUUAAAACCAGGUCACUGUGACUUUUCAUUAAGAAGAUAUGGCCAUAUAUGGCAAAAACUUGUCCGGCUCAUAACUUGAAAACUAUUAGACCUAGAAUCACCAAAAUUGGUCAACUAAUGCAUCUUAGGUAGAAGGUGUGUCUCAUCCUACUUUAAGGUCACUGUGACAUUUAAUUAAGGUGAUAUUUAAAAAAAUGUUUUAAUGGAUACAAUCUAUACUGUUAACAAUAUGUGACGGGCGUAUCAUGUACCGUGGCGGUGCACUUUUUUUAUUUAUGGUAUAACAUUCUGUAUCAUUCUGUUAAACAAACAUUUCUUUUAGAGCAGAAACACAUUGUGUAUUGGUUAAGCCUGUCAAAUGGAGCCAUGAAAGAUAAUACUGAUCCACACGUAUCACGAUACAGGCGACACACACGUAUCACUUUACAGGCGACACACACGUAUCACAAUACAGGCGACACACGUAUCACAAUACAGGCGACACACGCGUAUCACGAUACAGGCGACACACACGUAUCACGAUACAGGCGACACACGCGUAUCACGAUACAGGCGACACACGCGUAUCACGAUACAGGCGACACACGCGUAUCACGAUACAGGCGACACACGCGUAUCACGAUACAGGCGACACACACGUAUCACGAUACAGGCGACACACGUAUCACGAUACAGGCGACACACGUAUCACGAUACAGGCGACACACGCGUAUCACGAUACAGGCAUAUACAGCCAUCAUAUCAUGUAGAAACUUAUCUUAUUUAAAGAAAUGAAAUACAUAGAUUUGAAACUUAUCCGCCUUUCCAGUUUGUUCCUAUGAGGGAUUUCACAGGGCGUGCAGGGGAUAAUCCAGCCACGAUUCAGGCAAUGCUGGCCAAGGAAGUGUUGGAGGAGAUUCCGGAUCAAUUCCUGUCCUACAUGAAGUCGCGGAAUAUUAAACCCAAACCACCCCUCCAACGUCAGCUGACCAUCUCCUCUGUGACCUCCCUACCGAUUACGGAGCAGUGACCUUGACCUAGUUUCUUCAGGGCCUUGACAUACAACUAGUGUUGAAGUAUAGAACCUACCUGAAUAUAUUAGUCCUGACUGCAUGAUUGUCGUAAAUCUAGUUUGAUAUUUCAAAUCAAUCUUCUUUUUUAAAUUAAGUUUGAUUAAGCCAUGUAAUACAUGCAAUUUCCCAUUUACAACUUACAUGCACAUCUAAGCAGAUACAUGUAUGAUGAGGUUAGUCACAGCAACAGUUGUAGAUCAAGGUAAAUUUUUUUCGACACCCAUGCUGUGUUGAUAGAAAGCAUUCCUAUAAUGUGUUUCCCUUUCCAAUUUUUCAUGUGUUGUAUAACAUUGACCUGAAAGUUCGUGAUUGUGUUAUCAUUUACUCUCCUGUAAUUAGAAUAUUGAGUAUUUUUCUUAAUCUGUUUUUAUAUUUACAAUAUAUUAACUUUUUUUAUGAUUUUGUAUCGGUUUAAUCUGCCUGUUUUAUAUAUAUCUGUAGCUCUCACAAGAUGUGUAUGUUAUCUAGUGUAUCAUUAUAUCAGGAAGACAGAAACAUCUUCUGCGGAUGUAUCUUAGUGUUGUGUGAAGAAGCAUUAUUCCACGAAGGGUCUUCCAUAUAUGUUGAAAAUGCUGUAGAUUGUUUCCCCCAUAAAAUCAUCUUUUAAUAUGUCUAGAUCUGUAUCAACUUGAAGCUUGGAUCCUGAAGAUAUCUUAGUGCAAUAAACAAUCCACCUCUGCAUGUGUGUGUAAAUGUAAAUGAUGUUGACUUUUGACCGGCAAUUAAAGAGAAAUUUAAGAUUAGGCUUCCAAGUCGAUAUUGAUGCAGAUACUUGUUUCAUUCAGAGAGUCUCGCUUACAAGAUGAAGAAACUUUUGUAUGACUAUGGGAAAUGUGUACUUUUUAACUGUUUAUAGUGUAACAUAUCAAGAUGAAGUCUUAUUUUGUCUUUUUGUUAUAUUGUCGUACAUUGUAUUUAAUACAAAAUGUUUUUGCUGCGUAUUUUUUUUUUUACAUUUUCCUACACUAUACGACAUUAAUCGUUGGUGUGUGGUGCUGAGUAUUUAUUUGUAAGCUUUGCUGAGUACACUGUUGGUACAUGUUAAACAUAAACAAACUUAUCAACUAAUCAAUGCUUUUCUUGCAUGCGUUUAGUAUAUGUAUGUGGUAAGAGAAGACAUAUUGAAUAGAGGCGUUUAUAGGCUGAUUCACACUCAGGGUUAAAACAUUAUGAACUAGCCUACAAUGUUUAACUCUAACAACAUUCACACUGCAUGCAAAAAUCACCAAAUAUUAUAAAACUGUUUGAGUAUUCCGUUUUAUGUCUAUAAGUUUAGGAUAUUAUAAAACUGUUUGAGUAUUCCGUUUUGUGUCUAUAAGUUUAAUGGACCUCGUCAAAAUUUGGUAUUUUUAUGGAUUUUUGACAUCUAACCCAGUCUGAUUAAAAUCAGCCCUUGAGAUCUGCUCUUUUUUUAUAUUGUCACUACACAGCCAAUUGAGGACCUGAUUUUAAUCACUUUACCAUACCUCACGUUCAUAUUGCUUUUAGACUGAAGAACAUGAGUCUACAUCAUAAGUUAACCCACCCCCAGCUAAAUUAAGCAUUGGACAUGGAUUAAGUUAUUCUCAGUAUAACACAUGUUGUAAGUUGUAACCAAGAUUUACUUUGCAAUGUGAGCUGGCCAUAAAUUAUACCUACCUAACUAGAUUUAAAUUUAGCUGGACAUGAAUUACACCACCCUCACUAGAUUUAAAUUUAACCGGACAUGAAUUAUACCACCCUCACUAGAUUUAAAUUUAACCGGACAUGAAUUAUACCACCCUCACUAGAUUUAAAUUUAGCUGGACAAGAAUUACACCACCCUCACUAGAUUUAAAUUUAACCAGACAUGAAUUAUACCACCCUCACUAGAUUUAAAUUUAACCGGACAAGAAUUACACCACCCUCACUAGAUUUAAAUUUAGCUGGACAAGAAUUACACCACCCUCACUAGAUUUAAAUUUAGCUGGACAAGAAUUACACCACCCUCACUAGAUUUAAAUUUAACCAGACAUGAAUUAUACCAUCCUCACUAGAUUUAAAUUUAGCUGGACAUGAAUUACACCACCCUCACUAGAUUUAAAUUUAGCUGGACAAGAAUUACACCACCCUCACUAGAUUUAAAUUUAGCUGGACGUGAAUUAUACCAUCCUCAUUAGAUUUAAAUUUAGCUGGACAUAAAUUAUACUAUCCGCAAAUGGAUCUGAACAGGUUCACCAUGUCUUAUGAAAUUUCUAUAGUUUGCUUCGUAUUGUCAAAAUGAGCGAAAUUGUUCCUUUAGACGUAAAACCUAAAUAAUAAUCCUCAAUAAAACUCAGGACUGGAUAUAAAAAUCCCGAUCACUUCUGCUGUAUAAGUGCACCUGCUGAAUCUAGGAUAUCAUCUUUCCUAAUUUUGGAAUGGAUGUAUUGAUCACAGAUAAUGAUACAAUACAACAGUAAACUGUAUAUGGCAUAGGGAUGUAGAUCCGAUUAUAAUAAGAUACAGUUUACUGUUGUAUUGUAUCAAUAUUAUUAUCUGUACAGUAAAACAUACUACAAUGUAAUCUCACUGGGACCUCUAAUGAUGGCAGUGUUAGAUAUAUAACCUUCUUACUAGUUCUGACUAGUAGGUGAACUCUUUAGCUCGGUCGGUAGAACACUGGACUGUCGUGUCAGAGGUCCUAUGUUCGAUCUUCGGCAGAAGCAUAUAUUAGUCUCUGUCACAUUUGGGUGGUAAGUGUAACGGAAACGAGUAUGGAGCUAAACGGUGACACCAGCCAGUGUUGGUAAGAAGGCCGUGUAUCUAACACUAUCACAUUAAAGUUUACGUAAUUACACAACAUACCACGACUUACCUCUCUUUGUUUAACAAUGGGAUAAAUUUUGUUCAGAUAUAAAUGUAUCAUUUCAUACACAGGGAUCUAUAAAUAGAUAUAUGUAAACAUCCAUCUAAUGAUUGUAUAUAACUCCAGUAAUAUUUAUACUGCUGUUAAGUUAGUGUCUGAUUGAAAUUCGACUUAUCUCCCUUUUCAAUACAUUGUUCCGACGUAGAGUCGAUGAAUUGCUGCCCGAUGCGGGUUGAUCAGAAAUCACAAGUUCUUUUUGUGAUGCUUAUAUUAGUUUAUUAGACAUUGCGUAUGAAUUAUCCCAAUUCCUCCAGACAUUAGAUUGUGAAAGAAAUUAGUCUUUGUAAUAACGGACUGUUUUCAAUAUUGUUAUGUGUGGGUCUCUGUGUCUGUAUAUUGAGUGGCUAUUUAUGAAUAAAUAUAGUUCAAUGUU